UUCCCGGAAGUUAUUUAAUAUCUUUGGCAGCAGCUAUUGCGACGCAGCUGCCAAGCGACUAGCAUGCUGGAUCUCUAUCCAAAAGUGUGACAAGGAUGGUGACAACAGGCUCCGGGUAUGCCAUUCAGCAUGCCAGUCCUAUAAUUCAGCUUGUGGAGCAUCACUUGACUGCUCGGACCAAACCCUCUUUAGCAGCGAGGACGAAGGUGACGUUCAGUGCACGGGCUCUGGUGAGAUGAGAGUCUCAUGGUUUAAUCGUCUGCGGAGUAGUUUGUUUUCGAGUAAUACUUCGUCCGGAGGAAUGUCUGUAAAAUAUAGGCAUCUGUAGAUCUCUUUCCCCUUAAAUUUUUUCCUAAUUUUGGGUUGUAAUUUUUCCAGGGCUCAAUUGUAGGAUAGGUGGCACGCAGUGCACGUGCCCUAGAUGUAGAUUGUUCGUGGGCUUCACCCUCGUUUAAGGAAAUUGGGCGGGGAUUGGCUUUCAAAAAGGAAAGCCGCAUGUAGAGAGUAUUGGAAAUGUAUGAAGAAAGAAAACAAGAAGGAAAAAAAAAAAGAAAAAGUACAAAACUUUGCUGUGUGAUCAGCGGUUCGGCCGAAGGCCUUAAAAAGAAAAGCCUUGUGUUUUCUCGA